AUUGAACGCUGGCGGCAUGCCUUACACAUGCAAGUCGAACGGCAGCACGGGAGCAAUCCUGGUGGCGAGUGGCGAACGGGUGAGUAAAGUAUCGGAACGUGCCCAGUCGUGGGGGAUAACUAGUCGAAAGAUUGGCUAAUACCGCAUACGUCCUACGGGAGAAAGCUGGGGAUCGUAAGACCUGGCGUUAAUGGAGCGGCCGAUAUUUGAUUAGCUAGUUGGUGAGGUAAAGGCUCACCAAGGCGACGAUCAGUAGCUGGUCUGAGAGGACGACCAGCCACACUGGAACUGAGACACGGUCCAGACUCCUACGGGAGGCAGCAGUGGGGAAUUUUGGACAAUGGGCGAAAGCCUGAUCCAGCCAUUCCGCGUGAGUGAAGAAGGCCUUCGGGUUGUAAAGCUCUUUCGCAAGGGAAGAAAACUUAUCCUCUAACAUAGGGUGAGGUUGACGGUACCUUGAUGAGAAGCACCGGCUAACUACGUGCCAGCCGCCGCCGUAA
rnacentral:rRNA from 1 species